UACCAUGAUAAUCACUUUGUUUUCAUUAGUUCUAUUUGUUAAUCUCCUGCUUAAUGGACCCUACAAUUAGAUGGUUCAUCUUAAUUCCCACUCUUAUCUUAAAAUUUUCAUAAUCUAAAUUAAUUUCCUUUUAAUAUAUGUAAUAAGAUUAUUAUAAAUAUGUGAAGCAGGCCCUGCAUGUAUGCAAACUUUUAUUAAUAAUUUAAUAUUAUUAUUGUUAAUUAUUGGUUUUAAAUUUUUAAUUCUUGUUGAAUCAUUCUAUGAUUCCAAGAACAAAGGAAUGCUAUGGAGAAGAAGAAGAUCAUGAAGAUGAAGUCCAAGGCAUGCUCAGAGUUUGAAGGAAGAAGAAGAAAAUUAAUAUUUUAUGGGGAAGUUUCUAUUAUGGUGAAGAAGAAGUUUAUAGAAUUGGUUUCAGAAAAGGAUCCAUGGCCUGAAUAAUAUUCAUCAGAGAAUUUUGAUCUCUAGGCAAGUCUGAUAUUCUUGGCUUUUAGUUAUCCUUCCUUUAAUUCAUUUUUCCCCUUUUGAAACUUGUUUGGUUGCCAAGAAAAUGCUUGGCGGAUAUAUACUAAUUAGAAUAAGGCGUGGCAUCUUGAACCCAUCUUUGGCCACAAGAUUUAUCUUACUUCUCCAUAUUGUGUCUUUUUGAACAAGUUAGUUCUCUUGGACUGCUAGCUUUUGUACUCCAACAUUGUAAGACAUAAAAUUACAAAAUCCUUAUGAAACACAAGAGUUUAAUAUCUUUCUUCA